rnacentral:pre_miRNA from 1 species
NNNNAUUUCCGUGUCCAACUUUGACUGUCCGUCUUAUAUGAAAUUUUUUUAUAAUUCGUAUUUUCAUUGUUGUUAGAUGAUAAAACAUGAUUAAUAUUUUAUGCGUGACUUGUCUUUUUAAUUUCUUUCAUAAUUUUUUCAAAUAAGACGGACGGUCAAACGUUGGACAUGGAAACCAGGGUUUGUCUUUUU